rnacentral:misc_RNA from 1 species
GGUCAUAUCGAUCCGCUGCAGACUGCGGUAGAGCAGUAACUAACCUUUCUCAUACCGACUGACAUGCACUCGAAUUAACUGGGCGGAUUCAGUCAGUCAGCCCUCUACGCUCGUACGAGUCGCAUAAAACCCGAUCGCUUUCUUAACACUGAGUCUAACAGAUCGUCGGACCGAUGAUUGGCACGUUUUGGAACCUUUGCCGCGCCUGCCCUUCCAUGCCGGUAGACAAGCUGCAUUCUGAAUAUCGAAGUACAUACCGAUGGCAUGAAUACACGGGUCCGAGGCAGGAGGUCGUCAGGCAACCACCGCAGCCAGUCACAGGUGUGUGCUGUUUGUUUGAGCGAUCUGUGAUGAUGGCAACAAACACGACUUUGUUUAGGUAUUUUGCGAGUACUAAGGACGGCAUCUCCUGGGGUUUCUUCCAGCAAAUGACAUUCGGGAAUAAAGAAGAGGAAGAAAACAAAUUUAUCGAGAACACCAAAGUUCCUCCGAUAUCAGGUCUUGGUGCCAUAGAACCUGCACUUCCUAGAAGAAAAAAAAACCCUUCACUUGCCUACAGGACGAACGAUUUCAUACCAACGAAGAGAGAUAGAGAUUACUACCACACCUCUUCCUCUCUGGAUCGCGCAAGGUGCGCAGGUCGGGAGGGCGAUCAGGGCAGCUGCCGGAGGAGCAAGUCAGAAGGGCCGCCCAACCAGCCACCGUCUCCUCAUCAUCAGCGCGUCUUAAGAAGCGACUCAGAUCCAUCCGCACAACAAUUGAUGAUAUCAAAUUUCUCCGUGGAAAACAGUAAUAAUAAAAAUGGAGGCCUAAAAAAUGCCAUAUCAAGAAUAAGUACUGAAUACAGGUUACAAUUUGCAUGGCCUAGAAGUGGUAAGUCCAAAGAAGAUGACAAGAACAAUUUGCCAAGGAAAUCGCUAAGUAUGGGAGCCAUCAAACCCCAGGCCCAAAUAGCCCCAGUACACAAGAAGCGAACAUUACAACAAGAGGGAAGUGGUGAAAUGGAGCCUUUGGUAAGUGCCAUCGACACUGUUGAUACUGGGGAAGAAAAAAUCCAAGAAGAAUCAUUUAGUAAAGAAGAUAAAUUCAAAUUAAGUCAAAAAUCGGAAAUUAAGACUGAAUAUGAGAAAAAUUUUCGACCAUUUUCACAAUACGACUCAAAUGAAAUUCGACCGGUAAAGGGAAAACGAGACCCAUUCAUCCAACCCCAACCGCAACAACAACUUCCGGAUACUUGGUUCACUGAAGUUAUUGAACUUAGAAAGAAAGCAGGACAAUAUAAGCAUCGUGGAUGGGGCACAGAACUUGUCCCUGAGCACAUUGCCGAAUUGUAUAGCAAGCAGAUGGGACUUUGGGAACAAGUUUCGCGUCGUUCCUCUCUAUCAGCACUCUCUUUAGCAUCUUCAACACAUCGACCGAUUUCAAAAGAAGAAAAAGAAAAAGAAAACAACAAGAAAUCUUCACCUACUAAAAACUGGCAGCAUUCUAAAUUGGGCAAGGGUGAAAAAUAUGAUGACUAUAAAAAAGAUGGAAUUCAUCGCUCUAGGUUUGACAAUUUUGUUAGGCAUCAUCUUGAACGUACUACUGGAGUUGGAGAACAAGGAAUAUUACAUUCACCAACCAGGGAAAAAUUAGAGCCUGUGAUUCCUCGGAAAAAGGAUGGAAGUGACUUAAGCCAGAGUCCUCAAAAAGCACACUAUACUGGGAGAUCUCAAUCAGCUGGAUCACCGAAACGUGGAACUUCGAAAUUACACCAAAAGACGCCACCUCCAGAAAAACGAGAACGACCGACUACCCUUCAAACCGCUCCCACCCGAACCAAAUCUAACACAGGUUCUGUAAAAGCCAGUGAUUCCAAGGCAAGAGGGACUCAUAAACCUAAAGAGAUAACCUCACCAAACGUCAAUGAUACAGACAAAAACAAGGAAGAACCUGAUGCAGCUAUUUUGUCCGAACCUGUUGUCAAAUCACCCCCUGAGCCAACCAGGGUGAAAUCGCCGGAACAAAUUCUCAUGAGAUCGCCGGAACCCGUCAAUUGGACAGUUCCUUUGGACACAGGGAAGACUUUUACUGUUACUCAGAAUGUAUCUCAAGGGGGCUGUAAAAUUACCGCUUAUGCAUUGUAAACUUAGGCAUCUUUAUUUGAAUUCAUAGAAAUUAUCCAUGAAAGCAGUUAUAAAUACGAUGAAAAGAGUGAGGCUGACAAAACAAUAGGGGAACUACGCUGCUUGGAAGAUCCCUCAUUUUCUUUUGAUGGUGAUACAACUGGU